rnacentral:rRNA from 1 species
GAUCCUGCUCAGGAUGAACGCUAGCGGCAGGCUUAACACAUGCAAGUCGAGGGGCAGCGGGGUGUAGCAAUACACUGCCGGCGACCGGCGCACGGGUGCGUAACGCGUAUGCAACCUACCCAUAACAGGGGCAUAACACUGAGAAAUUGGUACUAAUUCCCCAUAACAUUCGAAGAGGCAUCUCUUUGGGUUGAAAACUCCGGUGGUUAUGGAUGGGCAUGCGUUGUAUUAGCUAGUUGGUG